rfam:Raoultella planticola strain GCSL-DIFS-295 CFSAN029441_contig2288, whole genome shotgun sequence.
CGCCUUUUUGCUAUGCGCAGAAUUUAACGAUUCGAACCUGCGGCAGGUUCGAGUCGAGCAAGGCGAGACAACGGAGCCGCUGGCGGCGACGGCCCGAAGGGCGAGCAAAGCGCGUUAUCCUGCACGACCCACCA